rnacentral:rRNA from 1 species
AUUGAACGCUGGCGGCAGGCCUAACACAUGCAAGUCGAGCGGCAGCAGGGUAAUUGCUCGCGCUUACGGCGGCGGAGGGGCGGGUAGGGCCUGGGAAUCUGCGAGGCAGCGGGGGAUAGGGUGAGGAAGUGGGCGAACAUACCGCAAAAGCGCUGAGGGAGAACGUGGGAAAGCAUCGGACCUCCCGACAUCAGAUGAGCCGAGGUCGGAUUAGCGAGUUGGCGGGGUAAAGGCCUACCAAGGCGACGAUCCGUAGCUGGUCUGAGAGGAUGAUCAGCCACACUGGAACUGAGACACGGUCCAGACUCCUACGGGAGGCAGCAGUGGGGAAUAUUGGACAAUGGGCGAAAGCCUGAUCCAGCCAUGCCGCGUGGGUGAAGAAGGUCUUCGGGUUGUAAAGCCCUUUUGUUGGGGAGGAAGAGCAGUAGGUUAAUACCUUGCUGUUCUGACGGUACCCACAGAAUAAGCACCGGCUAACUUCGUG